rnacentral:tRNA from 1 species
UUAGGAGUGCCAGAAGUUUAUGGGUUGGAUUUAGGUUUCAAUAAUGGUUUUUUUCCCUCCUAAG